UGCAUACGCCAAGGGUUAAAAGUAAGUAUCUCAAAAGUCACCCUGAAAUUAAAAUGAAAGACAAACUUUUCAGCCUUUUUUGGAUCAUCUUUUUGUUUUGAGUCCUGGACAAAACCAGAACUUUUCCUAUGAAAUAUGUUUCUUUAAUCUGCUGACUUGCUUAUGUCGGGGCUUGUCAACGACCUACGUUCAUUCAAAUAAUCCAACUUGAUACUCAUUGAACCUAGAUCAGUCCCUCAUCUGAAGCCCAUCCAAUAGAAAGACAACCCACGAAACUCAUUUGCCUGUACAGACGAUUCGCACCCAGCGGCAAUCCAUACCACUUCCUCAGGAGCAAAUCGUCUUCUAUUUUGGGCUCCCAUUUCAAAGUGGGAACACCCAAGUGGAACCUGGAACACUCAUCGCUUCCUCUUCAAUGUUGUUAUUAUGUCCCUGUGCUCAGCUCUGUGAAAUUGGAGUAGUGCACCAAUCGCGAAUGACCUUCAGUGAUCCAAACCAGUGGAAUAUAUCCACAGACCGGGUGGCCACCAAUACAAAGACUUACAAAAGUUAGGGUUGGUUGGCGGUGUUGGUGCUACAAAUUGUCACAUCAUGGAACACGGUCCAAUGAAUUGGAGCUUUAUUAUCCUCUAUCCCCGCUUCGUUGAUGUUAUUGUACCAAUGUUCCCAUGUUCCAAUGUAUCCCGAACUGAACUUUGGCAACCUGGAUCGUGUCGAAUGGAAUAAGGUCGAUCAGCUUUGUCACCGCCAUAAAUGUGAUCAUCGGUCGGGAACAAAGUGAAAACCAAUGACAAAUAAUAUUGAAGUCCCUUCCGUGCUCAAAAAAAAAAACACGUGGAAUGUCAAAUGUUGUAUCACAUAUAUUUCCGAUUUGGCAAACAACACUCAAGACCAAAGAGUACAACUACUCAACAUCUCGGCACACUAUGUACUAUACUAGGUCUCAUGAUUUGUCUGUAAUGGUUGAUUUUGUCUCGUAUGACUUUGUGCCACUGUCAUCCACUCAUAACUCUAAAUAUUCUACUACAAAUCCGAAUUACUUUUCUGAAAGUUAUGUGUGUUCACUUGGCCUACAAGAACUACAAAUACAAACUCCUUUGAUGUU